rnacentral:sRNA from 1 species
UGGGUCAGAACCACAGGCAUCCGAAUUCCUAAGCCCUGACUCUAGGACCACCCAGGGGCCUCUGAAGGCUGAGGAGCUCAAGGAGACUUAGGAUAG